AACUUCACUUUAAUUUAUAGAAGCUAUUAUUAAAUAUUGAUUAUGGAAACCUUGUUUUUAUCCAGCUCUUAAAAUUUAUCUACUAUAAAAAAUAAGAUAAGUAAUUUAAAAAAUUUUUUGGCAUAUUAGGUGCCAGCAGCCGCGGUCAUACCUAAAAAAUUAGUUAGCAUCAGAGCAAAAAAAAUAUCUUUAUAUAAAUGUUUAAUCUAAAUAAUCAAAAAAGUGAAAUUUUGUUUUUAUUUUAUAAUUUUUAAAAACUCCUUAAUUUUUCUAGAAAAAUUUAAUAAAAACUAGGAUUAGAUACCCUAUUAUUAAAUAAGUUUUUGUUUUUUUUGAGUAGUAAAUUUAUUUACAUAAAGAAAAAUUAAACUCAAACAGUGUGGCAGUAACUAAAAAUUUUAGGGGAACUUACCAAGUAAUAGAUAAUCAUCAAGUAUAAAUAUAUUAGAACUAAUUAACUUAGUUUGUAUACCGUCGUUUUAAGUUUUAUAAGUUAAGCUUGUAAAAAAAAUCUUUAUAAAGAUUUAUUUCAGAUCAAGGUACAAUAUUUUUUUAGGUUUUAGGCGAGUUACAAUAGUAAUUUUCUUUUUAAAAAUUAACUAAAUUUUUAAUUUAAGUUUUUAAAGCGGACUUAAAAGUAAUAUUACCAUAUAGUUAAAUUAUAUUUUUCAUUUUAUGAAUUAAUUUAAUUAUUUUAGUUGUGCACAAAUCGCCCGUCGUUCUCAAAAAAAUUUUUUUGAGACAAGUCGUAACAUAGUAGAUGUAGUGGAAACUGUAUCU
rnacentral:rRNA from 1 species